rnacentral:sRNA from 1 species
AACCACAGCAAAAUGAGAUUGCGAGACCAUUCAUCUGAGAGAAGUGAAGGUAGGGCCAGGCCCAUGGCACCUCUACCUGCAACUGCACCUGCUCAGGGCUUUCUGGGGCAGCCUAGGCUUCUCUUAAUUGCCCCCAGCUUUGUCCUUCACUUUCUAGGAAAGCAGAGUAGAGGGACGCUACCGCUUCUAAAUGGAGGUCACUUCUUAACUGCUACAGCAACCUCUGCCCUGCCCCUACUUCCCACAGCUAGUGUCCUUCACCUUUUUAUCCUCUAGGCAUAGAAAACAUUUUUGCCUUUAGUAUGUAUUGCUGCCAUUCCAAGCUUGUGUUAGAAGUAACGCUGGUUAAGAUAGCCAUGUAUUUCUCUCUUUUCUGUUGACUUCUGCAGUGUUGAAGCAUCACACAGACAUGAGCAGUUCGAGCUACUUGGCAGCCACCCACCAUCCUCCACACAGUCCCUUGGUGCGACAGCUCUCCACCUCCUCAGAUUCCCCUGCACCCGCCAGCUCUAGCUCACAGGUUACAGCCAGCACAUCGCAGCAGCCAGUAAGGAGGAGAAGGGGAGAGAGCUCAUUCGAUAUUAACAACAUUGUCAUCCCAAUGUCUGUUGCUGCAACAACUCGCGUAGAGAAACUGCAAUACAAGGAAAUCCUUACGCCCAGCUGGCGGGAGGUUGAUCUUCAGUCUCUGAAGGGGAGUCCUGAUGAGGAGAAUGAGGAGAUUGAGGACCUAUCCGACGCAGCCUUCGCCGCCCUGCAUGCCAAAUGUGAGGAGAUGGAGAGGGCACGGUGGCUGUGGACCACGAGUGUGCCAC